rnacentral:tRNA from 1 species
ACUUAAAUAGUUUAAAAAAAAUAUUGAUUUGUGGUAUCAAAGAUAUAUGAGUAUUUUAAGUU